AUACGUAGGUGGCAAGCGUUGUCCGGAAUCAUUGGGCGUAAAGAGCGCGUAGGUGGCUUGUCAGGUCUGAUGUGAAAACCUGGGGCUCAACUCCAGGCCUGCAUCAGAAACCGGCUUGCUAGAGUCUGGGAGAGGAGAGUGGAAUUCCUGGUGUAGCGGUGAAAUGCGUAGAUAUCAGGAGGAACACCGGUAGCGAAGGCGGCUCUCUGGAACAGUACUGACGCUGAGGCGCGAAAGCUAGGGGAGCGAACAGGAUUAGAUACCCUGGUAGUCCUAGCCGUAAACGAUGGACACUAGGUGUCGGGGGUGUCGACUCCCUCGGUGCCGAAGCUAACGCAUUAAGUGUCCCGCCUGGGGACUACGGCCGCAAGGCUAAA
rnacentral:rRNA from 1 species